GAUCCUCAAAAGGCAGGGAAGCCAAUUUCAUAGGUCCAUUAGGUCUCAUAGCUACUGGCACUCUCCCCUAUUGUUCAUAGAUUUCCUCAGCAUUCUCUUUGGACUGAGCUCUUUCUUAGUGAGGAUCCAAAUAGAGUACUCACAUAUCUAUCCUUGCUUCUCAGCCCUCUGGCAAAGACUAGGUACAGGCUGUUCUCCCCUUACCAUGUGUGUUACUUUGAAGACUAAGCUUUGAUUCCAGUGUGUUAGACCUGUCCACGGUGGGUCCUCAAGGCUUGAAGAAACUAUGAGGUUGGGGAGACGAAAGCAUCGAAAUGGAGUGGAAAAGGGAACUAUGGCCUACAAUGCUUCUCUACACGUAACGUUGUGCACUUGGAACCACUGUUGUGUACCACAGGAGCCUCUCCAAUAACACUGGACUUAGAAAGAUUUUAUUUAUUUAUUCAUGAUAGACACAGAGGGAGAAAGAGGCAGAGACACAGGCAGAG